UGGUGUGAUGAUGUACCAUCUUUCGGGACAGAUAACCCUUGAUAGAAAAAAAAGCUACCUGAACACCA